AUGAAGGAGGAAGAAUUGAUGAGGAGCUGCAAAUCCUCCGGUGCCCGAACUGACCAUGGAAGACAUCACGCUAAUCUGAAACGCAAAAAAGUAGAAGGGGACUGCACGCCCGAGAUGCACGACCCCGAGCCAAUCGCGGGCGAGCUGCAAGCCGUCGGCGGUCAGCAGGAGGGAGGUGCGGACAGGCCAGAUCUCGCCAGAUCCCACCAGAUCCGGGCGGUGGCGGCAUGCCGAUAUGUGUGGACAUGGCCGGCCGGAGUGCUAUCAGAGGCGGAUGCACCUCCUACCCACCAUCUCACCGAUGGAAGCCUGGCGGAGCACUCUAUCCUCAUGGUAGAAGCUAGCAGUGGUGGCCGGCAGGAGGAACUACUACGGUGGCGCGGGGCGGGAGGUGGUGCGAUGGCGCGUAUGGGAGGCGAUGCAGCAGAGCUGGGAGGGAUGGGGUCCGGCGGCACCGGGAGGGAGGUGGUGCAGCGACGAGGUGGGAGGUGGAGGUGCUGCGAAGGAGGGGUGGGAGGUGGAGGUGGUGUUGCGUGGGUUCAGGAGCAGAGGAGAGGGGAGUGGGGAGGGGGCGAUAGGAUUAGUUGUUUCCCGGCUGUAAAUUCAACCAUGCAUCCUGAUGACUUGAAAAGGAUGGUGUGGCUAGUCGUGGAGAAGAUCCUAAUCGAUAACUAUAUACAUCGGGGCAAGCUAGCUGCAAGCCUGCAACUAAAACUCACAACAAUGUCAAGUUCGGCGCAACUGCAUGGAUGCAAGAGACGACAACUUGGAUCUAGAGGAGAUGCUAGAAGAUCAAUCGAGGAGGGAAAAUAUUUGGGUCAUGGGUGGUGCCCCUGCAGAAAAAUUAUGAUUCCUUCAGUUACCAACCUGAUCGAGAGGAGAAAGGAGUUGAAGUUUCAAGAUAGAAGGUCGCAGCUGGAGGGAGACAAACUUGUCACUAACUGUAGCUGCAGGUGCUGGAUCCAGUCCACGAACAAUCUCGGAGAGCCGUCGGAGGCGGACCGGUGGUCGUGGCGGAAUUGUAGAUCCAUCGAAGGAGAGUCGGACCGGCGGUCCAGGCCGACGGUCCUGCCGGAGGGGCAUGGGAUCAGAUCUCGGCCGCCGCGUCGAAUGGAUAGGGGCGACCGGCCAGCGGUCCUGCCGAAGGGGCGUCAGAUUGUGCUCUGGCCGCCGCGCAGGAGGAUACAGAAGGGAUCAGGGGAAAGAGAGCGAUGGGUUUGGCUAAAUCCGGGAGAUAAAUGGGCUGCGGCCUUCUCGGGGCGCCGCCGUGACCUUCCCAGAGGGGCCACCACGACCUUCCCCAGCUCUGCCCUCCGCUACGGCUGCCGUCGGCGGCCUUCUAUCCAUGCUGGAGCUGCCCCCCGCCUGGAUCCGGCCUCGCACAGCCCCCUCGCCUGGAUUUGGUCCCGGCGCCGCCCCACUCCUGGGUCCGGCUGCCGUGCCAACCCCGCACCUGGGUCUGGCCGCCGCAGUGCACUCGCCCCACUCCUAGGUCCGACAGCCGCGCCGCCCCCGCGCCUGGGUCCAACCAUCAGCACCCCCACCCCCUGGCACACAAGCGCCGACAUCUACCCCAAUCCCCAAGCACACCGCCCAAAGGGCCCAUGCCCCAUCCCCCGACACUAUCCUGCCUCGCUGGCGCACCAUGGACGUCUUCCUCUUCUGCCUAGAACUUCUUCAUCCUUGACAGGCACAGAGAAGUUCGGAGCCGCCGACCCCAACAGCGGAACAACAGCUAUGAUCGAGUUAGCGCAAAGGUUUUCUCUGCUGCAAGAGCAAGGAUGGAGGCCUCGAAGGACCAUCAUUUUCUGUAGCUGGGAUGCGGAAGAGUACGGAUUGGUUCAAGACCCCGACAAUUCAUCUCAGACGGCUUAUGAUUCAUGGGUUAAAUCCAAUGCUUCUCCCAACUUGAGUUGGCCAAGAUAUCUUGUUUACCACUCUUUAUACGAUGAUUUUGUAAGGGUGGAGAAGUUCGCGGACCCUGGGUUCUGUAGGCAUGUCGCAGCUGCUAGCCGCUGCAGCAUCAACGACAACAGCGCGGCGCUCCUGGUGCUCCUCUCCCUCUACUGCCUUGCAUGCUACAAUGCCACCGCCUCCUCACUAGGAAAUCUGGAGUUAACUGAAGUCCAACUAUUACGUUGGACAAGGUUCAUCUACUUCAUGAAGUUUACAAAACCCCCAAAGCCUGAAAAAUAA
rnacentral:rRNA from 1 species